rnacentral:lncRNA from 1 species
AACUGUAGCCCCUGGGCUCCAGGAGGCGCACUCACUUUAGACCCUCUGCUCCGUGCGCUGCAGAGGGGGCCGCGAGAGUCAGGAAGUUCCAGAAAGUUCCAAAGACAUCACUGGUCCUCUUUGGACCGGAGUUCUCCGGAGAAACCGCUUCCGGCGCUCCUGACACACUGAGAUAGAAAGUUUCACAGAAAUAGGGCAAGGGAUAGGGCGAGGGCUCCAGGGCAGGCGUCCUAGGGCACCUGGCGCAGGGGCGGACCGGAAACCCCAGGCAAACGCAGAGUCGGAGAUGGCAUUCCAGGCGGAAGAUCAAGCAAAGGCAGAGAGGGAGGACGGCACCGAGCGGCUCCCUCUGACCAGGACUGAGGAUGAUGCGACCUGAUACCGCCGGAGGGAAGCCUGGGCCCGCUGAGCAAGAUAAGAACCUGAAACCCAGAAUAGUGCCCAAGGGAGCGGGUGUCUGGAGGCCCUGUCAUAUUUCAAAACUGUCAACCAUAAGAAAAUGAAGGCAUCUUUCAAGAGACUUGGAACAGAAACUUCUGCUGCCUAAAAUCUCUCUCCCUAAACUUUCUGUUGCAGAUGAGACUGAAGCUCAAAGAAGUUAAGUAACUUGCCAAAAGACUCCCAGCUAAAAGUGUGAGAGCAAAGACUCAAACCAAGGCAGUCUUCUGGUUUCAGAGCCUGAAGUCUUAACCAGGUGAGAAUAAAACUUCCAGCAUGCUUAUGUGUGUGCUUAUCUGUGAAUGACCCCAGAGCUGACUGCAGAUGUUGAGAGAAGAGGUAACUUUGACCAAAUGCAGUCAUGACCUCAGGUGUGGGCAAGUCCUUGUUCCCUACCUGGACUUGGCUAGGCCUGCAGGUCAUACAGGAAGAACAGUCCCUCUGAAGGUGACCAUAAUCCACAGGGCAGGGUGUGGAAAGUGACAGAGGUGAAUUUAUUAAAUGACUUGGUCAAGUCCCCACAGCUGGUCACUGGCAGAAGCAGCAGAAACAAAUAGGCAGCAUUAUCUAUUCUCCCAGUCAACAAACAGCCUUUGAGCCCAGCUAUGCCUGGCACUGUCUCUGCAGUCAAG